rnacentral:rRNA from 1 species
GGUGAUCGCCGUUGAAAGACGGUUUCCUCUUCGGAGGCACCUGCACAGGUGCUGCAUGGCUGUCGUCAGCUCGUGUCGUGAGAUGUUGGGUUAAGUCCCGCAACGAGCGCAACCCUUAUCCCUAGUUGCCAUCAGGUAAAGCUGGGAACUCUGGGGAGACUGCCGGUGAUAAACCGGAGGAAGGCGGGGAUGACGUCAAGUCCUCAUGGCCCUUACAUCCCGGGCUACACACGUGCUACAAUGGCAGGUACAGAGGGCUGCGAAGCCGCGAGGUGGAGCGAAUCCCAGAAAACCUGUCUCAGUCCGGAUUGAAGUCUGCAACUCGACUUCAUGAAGGCGGAAUCGCUAGUAACCGCGAAUCAGCAGGUCGCGGUGAAUACGUUCCCGGGCCUU